AUCGUGACACCCUCUAGCUUUGUCAACCAUUUCAUUUAAGUCUUGAAAUUUUAAUAUUUUUAAAUAUAUCCUCAAAUUGAAGACUUACCAAGAAAUUGUUCAUUAUGUUUUUAUAUGAACUUACAUGUUUUUCGAUCAAUCAAAUCAUAAAUACUUCGCGGUUACAUGGUAUUUGUAGCUGAGCCAGCUUUUGUAUAUGGAACCAACAUAAAUGCAUGAUGUACGAGGACUGGUUGUGCACCUACCAGUCUGUUUUCCCUUUUAUCUCUAAGAUGACUUUUUAUGAUUUUAUUUUCCAUCCUUUUUUCGUACAAGUAUAUUUAUAGUGGCAGGCUGGCAGCUAGGACUAUCCCUGCCAUCUUCAAGUGGAGAGGGAAAAAAAAUCAAUCAAACGAGGGAGCAAGCACUUUGACAUUACAAUUUGCAGUGCCAGCUGACAUGACUCCUGGUGGAAACAGUGUAGACCCACUUUCUUUCAAGUUUCCUCCAAAACGUGGUUCCUUUUCAGCGCAUUAAUGGCUCAUUCAGGGCUAAAGACAUAAGGUUUCUAAAGCAAGCACAGUAUAUAGGCAGGGCUGAUGUAGAAAUUUUUGUUGAGGUGCUGAAGCAGAAUAGUGGCUAUGAUCCCUCGAAAUCUCACUUUCUGAUGUUAAUUUCUUGAUCUACACAAAUUGAAAUGGCACUUUCUGUAGAUCGCUAUCGUUCUGGAUUGACCGAAAAGGAUCGUUCUGAAAGAAGCAAGAGAUUUGAAUCAGCAGCAGCUGUGAAGUUGCAGAAAGUUUACAGGAGUUAUCGUACCCGUCGCAGGUUAGCGGAUUCUGCGGUGGUUGCUGAAGAGCUCUGGUACGUGCCCCUCAUGUUCUUGUAUAGAUAAUACAACAUGUGGAACUCUGUCUUUUCUAAUCUGAUGUGAAUGUGAAGGUGGCGAGCUUUAGAUUAUGCAAGGCUAAAUCACAGCACAGUUUCCUUCUUCAGUUUUGAUAAACCUGAAACAGCAGCAUCGCGGUGGAGUAGGAUCAGCUUGAUGCUUCAAAGGUCGGAAAAGGUUUAGGCAAAGAUGCCAAGGCACAAAAAUUAGCUUUCCAGCAUUGGAUUGAAGCUGUAAGCCUAUAUUGGGCUGCAGCUGUUUGAUUAUGUUUGAUCCUUUUCUUCAAGUGCUAGUUUUGCUACUUCUUUUUUGUUUAUAUAUGUUGUGAUGUAGAUUGAUCCGAGGCAUCGGUAUGGCCAUAAUUUGAAUUUGUACCAUGAAGAGUGGUCUAAAACAGAUGCAUUGCAGCCAUUUUUCUACUGGCUGGAUAUUGGAGAUGGUAAAGAAAUUGAUCUCAAAGACUGUCCAAGAACAAGACUUUGCCAAGAAUGCAUUCAGUAUCUAGGACCGGUAUGUUCCUGAGCAUAGAAACUCAGAACUCAUUAUCAGAAUGUUGUGUUUCCAUAGCAAUUCAGCUGUCUACUGUAUUGCAUACAUCAGCUCAUGAUAAAUUUGCAUGAUCAAUUUAAGGAUAUCAUGAAAUGUAUGUUGACAUUUGCCAUAGCCUUGUAUUCAGAAAGUAGAUUACCGCUUCAAAUUACAGAAAAGAAAGAAAGAACAAAAGCUUUUGAUCUCUAUUAUAAUUGAACCUUUUAAUACUAGCAAAAACAAGCUUUCAUGACUUGUUCUCACACACCUGUCACGAUUUUCCCUGAAAUAAGCAAGAGAGAGAACUGUAUGAAUACAUCAUUGCUGAAGGAACAGUGGUGCACAAACAAAAUGGCAACCUCCUAGAUACAAAUCAAGGAUUGGAAGGUUCAAAAUGGAUAUUCGUGAUGAGCACCUGCAGAAAACUAAAUGCUGGAGAGGUAAGGAUCAUUCUGGACAUUAGACCAAUUAAUUAGCAAAUUUUCAUCCAUCUAUACGACUAAUAAUGUCUUUUCUUAAACAUUCAGAAAAAGAAAGGAGCAUUUCAUCACUCGAGCUUCCUUGCUGGAGGGACUACUCUGGCUGCUGGGAGACUAACAGCAGAAAAUGGAAAGCUCAGGGUAAGAAUGCCAUGAUCCAUGUGAAGUCUAUAUCAGCAUAUAGUGGGCAUUACCGUCCAACUAACCAGAACCUUGGCGGCUUCUUGGCCUUCCUCGAAGAAAAUGGGAUCAACCUCAAUGAAAUUCGGGUACGCAACUCAAUGCCAUGAUACUUCACAAACCUGCCACCCAAUGUGCCGUUUUUGCAUAAAAAUAUCUGGUUAUGAUGGAGCCUUUCCAGCUUUGGCCUAUCUGGUUUUGCCAACUUCUAUUCUUAUUCUUUAGUAAUCACUUGAUAUGGUGCUUCUACUUGGUCAUUGUUCCAUCUGGUAUUGCUCUAGGCAGGUUCUUACACCAGAAGAUAGUGAAAGCUGUGAAUCAAGGGAAUUGUCUCAAGACAGAAGUAAAUUUGGUUGGUCAAUGGAUUCGAAGCCGUCUAAACUUCAUGCUUCGAGUAAAAUUAACAAUUACCAACCUUCUGAAUC